rnacentral:rRNA from 1 species
UACGGAAGGCAGCAGUGGGGAAUAUUGCACAAUGGGCGCAAGCCUGAUGCAGCCAUGCCGCGUGUAUGAAGAAGGCCUUCGGGUUGUAAAGUACUUUCAGUCGUGAGGAAGGUGUUAAGGUUAAUAACCUUAGCAAUUGACGUUAGCGACAGAAGAAGCACCGGCUAACUCCGUGCCAGCAGCCGCGGUAAUACGGAGGGUGCGAGCGUUAAUCGGAAUUACUGGGCUAAAGGGCACGCAGGCGGUUAAUUAAGUUGGAUGUGAAAUCCCCGGGCUUAACCUGGGAAUGGCAUUCAAGACUGGUUAGCUAGAGUCUUGUAGAGGGGGUAGAAUUCCAUGUGUAGCGGUGAAAUGCGUAGAGAUGUGGAGGAAUACCGGGUGGCGAAGGCGGCCCCUGGGACAAAGACUGACGCUCAUGUGCGAAAGCGUGGGGAGCGAAACAGGGAUUAGAUACC